UACGAACCGUGCGAACGUUGUUCGGAAUCACUGGGCUUAAAGGGCGCGUAGGCGGCUUGCCGCGUCCGCGGUGAAAUCCCCCGGCUCAACCGGGGAAGGGCCGCGGGUACGGGCGGGCUCGAGGCGGGUAGGGGCGUGCGGAACUCUGGGUGGAGCGGUGAAAUGCGUUGAUAUCCAGAGGAACUCCGGUGGCGAAGGCGGCACGCUGGACCCGGUCUGACGCUGAGGCGCGAAAGCCAGGGGAGCGAACGGG
rnacentral:rRNA from 1 species